CUCUGGGAAGCGGUGCUCAUGACAACCAACAUAAACAAGUUUCAGUAGCUAUAGUUAUCCGUUGGUUUCACAAAACGGGGUGCCAAACCCAAGGAAAGCUGCUGCCAUUGCUUUCUGUGGGGACCAGUACUAUGAAAUAAUUGGAUCUAUUUAACAAAGCAUGGACGAAAGGUUCGAUGCUUGAAUGGAAUCUCCAGAUUCAUGGCAGCGAGGCAGAAUAAAGGUAUUGACGAGGGAGAGGUAUUACAUGGCCAUCCUCUGGGUGUUUCCCCCUUUCCACAUGCCAGGGGUUUAUACCAACCAUCUGUAAUUUUCAUGGGUCGGCAGACUUCCAGAGAGUCCAGGGCUGAAGAUGCCACCAUAAGUGUACACUUACAAGAAGCCGAGCAUCAUUCGCCCCAAUCAUUGCUCACGUGCCUCGGAAUACCGACAAAGUGGCCUUUUUGAAGGACUCCAAAGUUUCCAGAGAGGUUGUUGCCGACAGCGGAGCGCAUUUAUCAGAUGACAUUUCGGGCUCAAACGAUUCCCCCGACGGCUGUAAUUUGAGUGACAAACAUGAAAGGAUGGCAGCAGUGGUUCCAUCCAGUUUAACAGCCAGCGCCAGUGUGCCUUUUGGAGGUGAUUAACAAUCUCCUACACCUCGAGUGACCUUGACGAGGCCUGAGAAGAAUAGCCUAUCAUCCCGGCAGUAUCAGCCAUAUGUCUGACAGGAAUUCACCGGCAGAAUACACUCGGUAGAGGGUCUGCCCACCAGGAUAGCAUAGAAAAAUAAGUUGGAGAGAGUCUUGCAAAGAUCACCAACUCAAACUGACUUGGGAAAAUAAUCUCAAGAUGUGCCAGAGAGGAGUGAAGACCUCAGUAUAUCCAGUUCCAGUGGAGCUGUCAGUGACCAGGAGUGGCAGUGACCUGUCAAUCUCCCUGACCGAGUCUGACCUGGCUGAGGUACCAAAGGUGCCACAGAAUGUCGUCUAUGUAGACGGCCAUAGCAGGAGGACAGACAGCCCACCAGAGGAGUGCUACACCCAGGGACAGGGAUCUCCACAGCAUCAGCAUACACAGUCAAGAAUCACUUGACACUCCAGAGCCUAGGAACAGAUCUGAACCAAGUAGAGAAUCCACGUCUUAAGGAAUACCAUUGGAAAGCCUUUGUAACUCCAGGGAAGGCUUGAAUGGAGAGGACCUUGAAACAUGUGGAACAGUCGUCCUUCACCAGCUUCAGAGGUUGUUAAAGACCACGUCAAAGGGUUGGUUGCCUGUUACCUGAAGAGAUGGUUAGCUUUAACUGGUCGACCACUGAGCCCAGGAAAAUAAGCUCCUGUCUCCCACCUGACGCUGCUCCUCUGUGGGAUCACUGGUUCAAGCACACCCUUCUGCUGAAGGACCACCAUGUCCUCACCACCGAGCGCCUCGUCCAGCUGUUCACUCCACUGCUACUGCCACACAAUGCCUCCUAUAGCACCAAGGACUACAAAGUGGUGAAGAGGACAGCCAGGACGAGAGCCCCGUGGAAAGUAUUCCUAUUGGAGGUAAAAAGGCAGUGCUGAGCCCUGCAUUCAGAGUUCUUGUGUAGCGUUGGUUUUCCUCCCACAGCCGCUGAUAAUGGCCUCUUUUAAAUGGAUGGCUGUGGCAGGAUGAUCAAGGUCAAUCUGGGGUCAAAGUCCCACCUGUAGAGCUGUGCAAUUCCUCUAAUUAUCUUGAAGAAACAGUGCAUGUUUUCAGCUGGCCAGAGUAGAGUUGUGGCCAAAUUGAUAAUUCACACCCAUAUAAUGCAGCAGUUUCAUUGUCAGGACACCGGGGUGUAGCUAGAGAUUGGCCAUUGGUUCUCAUUAUCUUCUAAACAAUGCUAUGCAGCAGCAUACUUGAAAAGGCGAGAUGUGAAGGCAUGCUGAAAGCGGCCUGGGUUCCAGUUCACACCAGAAUCUCAGAAACACUUGGCUAGCAUAGAUUUCAUACUGAGCAUUUCAUCUGUGAACAUCUCCAAGGGCGCAAGCCCACAGAACCAGUCCAGUUUCAAAUCAUAACUAAUCAAAAGCAUUGUUUUUUUGAAAAGAGACAUUUGCAGUCCAGUUUCAUGGCUGGAGCCACUGCUGUGCAACAGUGAGUGUUGCCAGCACAAACGGAAGGUAAUGAGUUAAGAAUGUGUGGCUGUAUAUGCUUAAAGUGACACGCAUUUAUUAUUUCUACAAACAAAACAACUACAAUGGACAGAUACUUAGAUAUACAGUGUCUUCGGAAAGUAUUCAGACCCCUCAACUUUUUCCACAUUUUGUUACGUUACAGCCUUAUUCUAGAAUGGAUUAAAUAAAUAAAAAAUCCUCAUCAAUCUACACGCAAUACCCCAUAAUGACA